rnacentral:rRNA from 1 species
UACGUAGGGGGCGAGCGUUGUCCGAAGUUACUGGGCGUAAAGCGCGCGUAGGCGGGCUAUUAAGUUGGAUGUGAAAUCUCCGGGCUCAACUCGGAAACCGCAUCCAAAACUGGCAGCCUUGAGGUAUGGAGAGGGAAGUGGAAUUCCUGGUGUAGCAGUGAAAUGCGUAGAGAUCUGGAGGAACACCGAUGGCGAAGGCAGCCCCCUGGGCUAACACUGACGCUCAUGCACGAAAGCGUGGGGAGCAAACAGG